rnacentral:rRNA from 1 species
GUCCACCCCGUAAACGUUGGGCGCUAGAUGUGGGGACCAUUCCACGGUUUCCGUGUCGUAGCUAACGCAUUAAGCGCCCCGCCUGGGGAGUACGGCCGCAAGGCUAAAACUCAAAGGAAUUGACGGGGCCCGCACAAGCGGCGGAGCAUGCGGAUUAAUUCGAUGCAACGCGAAGAACCUUACCAAGGCUUGACAUAUACGAGAACGGGCCAGAAAUGGUCAACUCUUUGGACACUCGUAAACAGGUGGUGCAUGGUUGUCGU